UUCCGGUUGAUCCUGCCGGACCCGACUGCUAUUGGAGUAGGACUAAGUCACGCUAGUUAAAGGUGCGGAAUGGAGCACCUAGCGCACGGCUCAGUAACACGUAGUCAAUCUACCCUAAGGACGGGUACAACCACGGGAAACUGUGGAUAAUACCCGAUAGGAAAUUUGGCCUGGAACGGUAUCUUUCCGAAAACCGGCUAGCCGUUAGACACGGGCCUUAGGAUGGGGCUGCGGUCGAUUAUGCUAGAUGGCGGUGUAAAGGACCACCAUGGCGACGAUCGAUAUGGGCGAUGGAAGUCGGAGCCCAGAGUCGGCCACUGAGACAAGGGGCCGAGCCUUACGAGGCUUAGCGGUCGCGAAAACUCGCCAAUGCACGAAAGUGUGAGUGGGCUACUCCAAGUGUCAUUCUUACGGAUGACUGUCGCUCAGUAUUACAAGCUGAGAAAGGAAGGAGAGGGCAAGGCUGGUGCCAGCCGCCGCGGUAAAACCAGCUCUUCGAGUGGUCGGGACGUAUAUUGGGUCUAAAGCGCUCGUAGCCGGACAAGUAGGUUCCUGGUUAAACCCGACAGCAUAACUGUUGGACCGCUGGGAAUACCGCUAGUCUUGGAAGCGGGAGAGGACAGAGGUAGUCAUGGGGCAGGGGUGAAAUCCAGUGAUCCCAUGGCGACCACCGAUGGCGAAGGCAUCUGUCUGGAACGUAUUCGACGGUGAGGGGCGAAAGCUAGGGGAGCGACCCGGAUUAGAUACCCGGUUAGUCCUAGCCGUAAACGAUGCGGACUAGGUGUUGCGGUGGCCAAGAGCCACUGCGGUGCCACAGCGAAGGCGUUAAGUCCGCCACCUGGGGAGUACGGAUGCAAGUCUGAAACUUAAAGGAAUUGACGGGGGCGCACCACCAGGAGUGAAGCCUGCGGUUUAAUUGGAGUCAACGCCGGG
rnacentral:rRNA from 1 species